rnacentral:tmRNA from 1 species
GGGGGUAUAAUGGUUUCGACAUAUAUGGGUAAGUUUAUAUUGCAGUAGUGUGGAAGACUAUAAUUUCUACUAGAGAACUUUUUUAAACGGAAAAGAACAAAAACAAGAAGUAAACUUUGUUUCACCAAUGUUUUACUCAAAUCAAUCAAAUCUUGUGUUUGCUUAAUUAAAACACAAGUUAUCUUAUGUUUUUCCUAGGAUAUAAGAUAGGUCUAUAAGGAUAGAUUUAGUAUUUUGACAGAUAUUAAAUUGAAUUAAAGUCACAUUUUAUAUUUUAUUUUUGUUUAUUUAUGGAUAUAAAAUUAUAAAAAUAAACUAAACUGUAGAAGUGUAAACUAUAUUUAUGUAUGGACACGGGUUCGACUCCCGUUACCUCCACCA